rnacentral:rRNA from 1 species
AACGAACGCUGGCGGCAGGCUUAACACAUGCAAGUCGAACGGGUGUAGCAAUACAUCAGUGGCAGACGGGUGAGUAACACGUGGGAACCUUCCUAGGGGUACGGAACAACUCAGGGAAACUUGAGCUAAUACCGUAUACGUCCGUGAGGAGAAAGAUUUAUCGCCCUUAGACGGGCCCGCGUCGGAUUAGCUAGUUGGUGGGGUAACGGCCUACCAAGGCGACGAUCCGUAGCUGAUCCUAGAGGAUGAUCAGCCACACUGGGACUGAGACACGGCCCAGACUCCGACGGGAGGCAGCAGUGGGGAAUCUUGGACAAUGGGCGCAAGCCUGAUCCAGCCAUGCCGCGUGAGUGAAGAAGGUCUUCGGAUUGUAAAGCUCUUUUGCCAGGGAUGAUAAUGACGGUACCUGGAGAAUAAGCCCCGGCAAACUUCGUGCCAGCCGCCGCCGUAACAC